GGAAGCCAGUCAUCUCAGAUGCAACUGCCACUUCUUGCUUCUCUUCUCAGGAUAACUAACUUCUUCAGGAUCCUACCUACAUUUGGUUAUCAUGUCUCCUUAGGAUCUUCUUGGCUGUGAUAGUUUCUCAACUUGCCUCAUUUUUGAUGACCUUGACAGUGUUGAGGAAUACUUGUCAGGGGACGACCAGUGCACAAGAAGGGUAAACCAUCCUGCUCAGAGUCUCAACAACUCAAACUUCUGACUGCAAAUUCUCUUCCUUCCACUCUUCUGUGGUUGCCUUCACCUUCUACACCACAGGGAAAGAAAAAUCAGAUCCAAAGUCAAAGAGCUGGCUCUCUGUGAAAGCAACUCCAUUAAUUUUAGUCAUUUCUGCCUUCUUUACCCCAGCUAUUAUCCCACAUAGACAUCUGUGAAAUAUCACUUGGGAAUCAAAGACAUUUCCCUUGUAGUGUAACUUCAAGAUUAAAUGGCCAUUUCGAACGUU